CAGAAAGUAGUUUAAUUCAACCAGAAUACUAGCUUUGGGAGCUAGUGGUGGGGGUUAAAUUCCCCCCUCUCUGA
rnacentral:tRNA from 1 species